GGAUCUUGCGCAAUGGGCGAAAGCCUGACGCAGCGACGCCGCGUGGGGGAUGAAGGCCCUCGGGUUGUAAACCCCUUUCGGCAGGGACGAAGCGAACGUGACGGUACCUGCAGAAGAAGCCUCGGCUAACUCCGUGCCAGCCGCCGCGGUAAGACGUAGGAGGCGAGCGUUGUCCGGAUUCAUUGGGCGUAAAGAGCGCGCAGGCGGCUCGGUCAGUCGGAUGUGAAAACCCGGGGCUCAACCCCGGGCAUGCAUCCGAUACUGCCGGGCUAGAGGUAGGUAGGGGAGAUCGGAAUUCCUGGUGUAGCGGUGAAUGCGCAGAUAUCAGGAGGAACACCGGUGGCGAAGGCGGAUCUCUGGGCCUUACCUGACGCUCAGGCGCGAAAGCUAGGGGAGCGAACAGG
rnacentral:rRNA from 1 species